CUACGGGGGGCUGCAGUGGGGAAUCUUAGACAAUGGGGGAAACCCUGAUCUAGCCAUGCCGCGUGAGCGAUGAAGGCCUUAGGGUUGUAAAGAUCUUUCAGCUGGGAAGAUAAUGACGGUACCAGCAGAAGAAGCCCCGGCUAACUCCGUGCCAGCAGCCGCGGUAAUACGGAGGGGGCUAGCGUUGUUCGGAAUUACUGGGCGUAAAGCGCGCGUAGGCGGAUUGUUAAGUCGGGGGUGAAAUCCCGGGGCUCAACCCCGGAACUGCCUUCGAUACUGGCAAUCUUGAGGUCGAGAGAGGUGAGUGGAAUUCCGAGUGUAGAGGUGAAAUUCGUAGAUAUUCGGAGGAACACCAGUGGCGAAGGCGGCUCACUGGCUCGAUACUGACGCUGAGGUGCGAAAGCGUGGGGAGCAAACAGGAUUAGAUACCCCAGUAGUC
rnacentral:rRNA from 1 species